rnacentral:misc_RNA from 1 species
AAGGGGUGCCUCCUCACAAAGGGGACCCUAUAGCUUACUUAAGGUGGAAUUGGCGAGUGAAGCGGAAGAUUAAGGCUAGGAAAGAACUCUUCCAAAAGAUAUUCUAAACUGCUUUCUGGUCAAUCCAUGAGAUCAAGCAUGUAGGGAUUUUAGGAAAGAGCAAGCCUUUCUACAGUGAAGGCAAGCAAAUGAUCUGACUUUUGCUGAUUAGGAUAGGAUUUAAUGGCAGGGAUUGGUCCUAAAGGUGGGGCAAUUUGGAUGAAAGUUCACAAGUUUGUGCAAUAAAUAAAAAUGAGGCUUAGGGAGAAUUAGUCUCAUCCAAGUGUUAAGUGCAGGAGUUGUGAUAGGUAGCUUACUAUUAUUCUUUUUAUUCGUCUUUGGAGACCACCUUCAUUAGAUGGAAAACUAACAGAAAGUAGGAACUUUUAGCAAAAUAUAUAUUUGGUUGGUAGAGGAAAUACUUUUUAAAUAUGCAACAAUAAUAAUACCAAAAACUUCUUAUUAUUCAUCUCCAGCAUCAUGAUUUGCCAUUUCCAGCACUAGUGAUGGGUAGUGGAAUACUUUGAACUUUUUGGUAUGUUGGAUUUGACUUUUUUGGGAAGGGCAAGAAGUUGUAUAUAUUUGUGGCUUAAAAAGACCACAAUGGAGGAUGAUACUUGCUUUCUUGAAAGAAAUAAAACAAAUACAAAUAUAAAUACAAAUACAAAUAAAACCUUCAUCAAAAUGAAAGGAUCUACAAUCUCAUUUUGUAUGUGGUAAAAGAUCCAAAAAUAAAGCACAACAAAGAAGCCAUGAACACUAUUCUACCUGGAGGAAGCAUGCUGCCAGUGGUCUUUAAAAGUUCUAGCAUCAUGGCAUUCUUGUGUUAGAGUUAGUACUGAUUUGGUUUGGAGGCUUCCAUAUGUGUUUAUUACCGAUUGUGCAUUUGGCUCUUGAUGAAAGCAUGAUAACAACAGAUUCUUGAAUGUCUUUUCCAGGUCUACUCUUGCAAGCUAUAUAC